CCUACGGGGGGCUGCAGUCGAGAAUCUUUCACAAUGGGGGCAACCCUGAUGGAGCGACGCCGCGUGGAGGAUAAGGUCUUCGGAUUGUAAACUCCUGUCAUGCGAGAACAAGGUUGCAGGGCUAACACCUUUGCAAAUUGAUGGUACCGCAAGAGGAAGAGACGGCUAACUCUGUGCCAGCAGCCGCGGUAAUACAGAGGUCUCAAGCGUUGGCCGGAAGCGCUGGUCGUUGAGGGUGCAUAGGAGGUGUGACAGCCCGGGGCUCAACCUCGGAAUUGCAUCCGAUACUGCCAUGCUGGAGUACUGAAGAGGUGACUAGAAUUCUAGGUGUAGCAGUGAAAUGCGUAGAUAUCUAGAGGAAUACCAACGGCGAAGGCAGGUCACUGGGCAGUUACUGACACUGAGGCACGAAGGCCAGGGGAGCAAACGGGAUUAGAUACCCCGGUAGUC
rnacentral:rRNA from 1 species